GGUUUAUUAGUACAACGGUUAGUAUAUCCGACUGUCUAUCGGAAGAUGAGGGUUCGACUCCCUCAUAGACCG
rnacentral:tRNA from 1 species